rnacentral:misc_RNA from 1 species
GCACCUACCGAUUGGAUGGUCCGGUGAAAUCUUUGGACUGUGACUUUGACUUGUUCAUUCAAGACGCUGUCGCGGGAAAUUGAUUAAACCUUACCAUUUAGAGGAAGGUGAAGUCGUAACAAGGUUUCCGUAGGUGAACCUGCAGAAGGAUCAAGAUCGGAAGAGCGUCGUGUAGGAAAGAGGGGUGGAUCUGGGGGGUCGCCGUAGCAUAAAAAAAAAAAUACAUGAGAGCUAACUACAGAGCGACAUACCAGCCGAGAUGAACAUGAUGUACUU